rnacentral:sRNA from 1 species
ACAAACACAGUUAUCAUUCUUGCACUCUGCACAGACACAGUUAUCAUGCUUUCACUCUGCACAGACACAGUUAUCAUGCUUUCACUCUGCACAGACACAGUUACCAUUCUUGCACUCUGCACAGACACAGUUAUCAUUCUUGCACUCUGCACAGACACAGUUACCAUUCUUGCACUCUGCACAGACACAGUUAUCAUUCUUGCACUCUGCACAGACACAGUUAUCAUGCUUUCACUCUGCACAAACACAGUUAUCAUUCUUUCACUCUGCACAGACACAGUUAUCAUUCUUGCACUCUGCACAGACACAGGUAUCAUUCUUUCACUCUGCACAGACACAGUUAUCAUUCCUGCACUCUGCACAGACACAGUUAUCAUUCUUGCACUCUGCACAGACACAGUUAUCAUGCUUUCACUCUGCACAGACACAGUUAUCAUUCUUUCACCCUGCACAGACACAGUUAUCAUUCCUGCACUCUGCACAGACACAGUUAUCAUUCUUUCACUCUGCACAGACACAGUUAUCAUUCUUUCACUCUGCACAGACACAGUUACCAUGCUUUCACUCUGCACAGACACAGUUAUCAUGCUUUCACUCAGCACAGACACAGUUAUCAUUCUU